AUUGAACGCUGGCGGCAUGCUUUACACAUGCAAGUCGAACGGUAACAGGCCGCAAGGUGCUGACGAGUGGCGAACGGGUGAGUAAUGCAUCGGAACGUGCCCAGUCGUGGGGGAUAACUACUCGAAAGAGUAGCUAAUACCUCAUACGAUCUAUGGAUGAAAGCGGGGGACCGUAAGGCCUCGCGCGAUUGGAGCGGCCGAUUUCAGAUUAGGUAGUUGGGGGGGUAAAGGCUCACCAAGCCAACGAUCUGUAGCUGGUCUGAGAGGACGACCAGCCACACUGGGACUGAGACACGGCCCAGACUCCUACGGGAGGCAGCAGUGGGGAAUUUUGGACAAUGGGCGCAAGCCUGAUCCAGCAAUGCCGCGUGCAGGAAGAAGGCCUUCGGGUUGUAAACUGCUUUUGUACGGAACGAAACGGCUCUGGUUAAUACCCGGGGCUAAUGACGGUACCGUAAGAAUAAGCACCGGCUAACUACGUG
rnacentral:rRNA from 1 species